AUUAUUUCACAAACAGUUGAGAGUCUAUCUGUCUCUCUAACAAACUUUCUCUUCAGAUAAACACAUGAGAAGUUCAGAUAUUGGUGGGGAUGGGAAAGACUUGUGACAGAUAGACUAGCAGAAAGCGGGUCUAAUUGCCAUCACCCCAGCAACCAGUCCAUUCAUUCCUCCUUAGUAUGAUACAGAAUCUGUCCUAAUUUACAUGUCAGCUCUAUCUGGCAUCCAGAUGAUGAAAGGCUCAUAAAAGCACUGCAAAUAUGAUAAAGUCACAUGUAAAACAUGUGACAUGCGUAUAUCAUGGAAACAUAAAUGUGUUAUAAAAAAUCUGGCCUUCACUUACCAUGAAACCAUUAACUAUACUAUAGAUUAUCAUAUCCACUUCUACUUCACCAGAAAACAAACUUUUAAUAAUGAGAGGUUUCACUGAUAGCAAAAACCUUUGUAUGUUACCCAUAAACUAUUUGUCAAUGUUAAACCAGAUGCCAACAGCUCACAACUCAGAAGGCUGAGAUCUGAAGAUCAUGAUUUGAAGCCAGCCUCAGCAGGAAAGUCUGUGAAACUCUUAUCAUCAACUAAUCACAAAAAAAGCUGAAAUGGAACUGUAGCUCUUGAAGUAAAGUUCUAACCUUGAGCUUUUAAAUAAGCUCAGGUGCAGUGUCCAUGCUCUGAGUUCAAGCCCCAGGACCAGCAACUUAAAACAAAACAGCCAACAACAAAAAAUGCUACUGAUACCUUAGAAACAACCUGUUAUAUAGCAAAAGCCAAGAUACCAUCAAUAGCAGGAUACCAUUCAGGGUUUGAGCCCACCCAUCCUUCCCUUAACUCAAAAGAAACAGCCACAUGUAGAACAUAGAAUUCUAGCCUCCCAAGUAUCUUUUUUUUUGCCAGUCCUGGGGCUUGAACUCUGGGCCUGGGCACUGCACCUGAGCUCCUUUAUGCUCAAAGUUAGC